GCAUCGAGGAGCGACGCUUACGCGUGCCUGACGCGUGCGCGUGAUUUGGAAAUAUCCAUGGCGACGCGUACGCGUAAUUUGAAGAUUUGCUCAGUGACGCAUGCGCGUGACUGACGCGUACGCGUGACUCGCGGAAAAUACCAUUGACGCGUGCGCGUGACCGACGCGUACGCGUGACAUGCGUAACGUGCAAAAAAAAUGCAGAAAGGCACUGGGGGUGAUUUCUGGGCUGUUUUGACCUAGUUUGAAGCCU
rnacentral:lncRNA from 1 species